UCUGGUGAUUUGAGCGCGGCGGACCCACCCGUUCCCUUCCCGAACACGGUCGUGAAACGCCGCAGCGGCGACGAUACUGGAGGCGCAAGCCUUUGGGAAAAUAGCUCAUUGCCAGAA
rnacentral:rRNA from 1 species